rnacentral:rRNA from 1 species
UACGAAGGGGGCUAGCGUUGCUCGGAAUCACUGGGCGUAAAGGGUGCGUAGGCGGGUCUUUAAGUCAGGGGUGAAAUCCUGGAGCUCAACUCCAGAACUGCCUUUGAUACUGGCGAUCUUGAGUCCGGGAGAGGUGAGUGGAACUGCGAGUGUAGAGGUGAAAAUUCGUAGAUAUUCGCAAGAACACCAGUGGCGAAGGCGGCUCACUGGCCCGGUACUGACGCUGAGGUGCGAAAGCGUGGGAGCAAACAGG